rnacentral:rRNA from 1 species
CAUGCAAGUCGAACGGUAACAGGUCUUCGGAUGCUGACGAGUGGCGGACGGGUGAGUAACGCGUAGGAAUCUGCCCAUCUGUGGGGGAUACCAGUUGGAAACGACUGUUAAUACCGCAUAAUAUCUGCGGAUUAAAGGUGGCCUUUGCGCUGCCGCAGAUGGAUGAGCCUGCGUUGGAUUAGCUAGUUGGUGGGGUAAGGGCCUACCAAGGCUACGAUCCAUAGCUGAUUUGAGAGGAUGAUCAGCCACAUUGGGACUGAGACACGGCCCAAACUCCUACGGGAGGCAGCAGUGGGGAAUAUUGGACAAUGGGGGAAACCCUGAUCCAGCAAUGCCAUGUGUGUGAAGAAGGCUCUAGGGUUGUAAAGCACUUUAGUUGGGGAGGAAAGCCUGUGAGUUAAUAGCUUGCAGGAAGGACGUUGCCCAAAGAAUAAGGACCGGCUAACUCCGUGCCAGCAGCCGCGGUAAUACGGGGGGUCCGAGCGUUAAUCGGAAUUACUGGGCGUAAAGGGUCUGUAGGUGGUUUGUUAAGUCAGAUGUGAAAGCCCAGGGCUCAACCUUGGAACUGCAUUUGAUACUGACAAACUAGAGUAUGGUAGAGGAAUAGGGAACUUCUGGUGUAGCGGUGAAAUGCGUAGAGAUCAGAAGGAACACCAAUGGCGAAGGCAACAUUCUGGACCAAUACUGACACUGAGGGACGAAAGCGUGGGGAUCAAACAGGAUUAGAUACCCUGGUAGUCCACGCUGUAAACGAUGAGUACUAGCUGUUGGAUUCGGUGUAAAGGAUCUAGUGGCGCAGCUAACGCGUUAAGUACUCCGCCUGGGGACUACGGCCGCAAGGCUAAAACUCAAAGGAAUUGACGGGGACCCGCACAAGCGGUGGAGCAUGUGGUUUAAUUCGAUGCAACGCGAAGAACCUUACCUGGUCUUGACAUCCUGCGAACUUUCUAGAGAUAGAUUGGUGCCUUCGGGAACGCAGUGACAGGUGCUGCACGGCUGUCGUCAGCUCGUGUUGUGAAAUGUUGGGUUAAGUCCCGCAACGAGCGCAACCCCUAUUGAUAGUUACCAUCAUUAAGUUGGGUACUCUAUUGAGACUGCCGCUGACAAGGCGGAGGAAGGUGGGGACGACGUCAAGUCAUCAUGGCCCUUACGACCAGGGCUACACACGUGCUACAAUGGGUAUUACAGAGGGCUGCGAAGGUGCGAGCUGGAGCGAAACUCAGAAAGGUACUCUUAGUCCGGAUUGCAGUCUGCAACUCGACUGCAUGAAGUCGGAAUCGCUAGUAAUCGCAGGUCAGAAUACUGCGGUGAAUACGUUCCCGGGUCUUGUACACACCGCCCGUCACACCAUGGGAGUGGGUUGCUCCAGAAGUAGAUAGCUUAACGAAUGGGCGUUACCACGGA